rnacentral:sRNA from 1 species
UCUCUGGUUCAACAAUGAUGCGAACUCUGGUUGAAACCGGAGCUGAACUUGUGAUGGUUAUGUCUAUCGCCUUGCUUGAGUGACCAAUAUAUGUCGAUGACCUGUCAGGACUGGCGCACCUCCAUGAGUAAGCUCAGUUGGCUCCUUUGGAUCUGAUAGCAUUAUGCUUUCAGAGUCAAGCAUUGCAGUAACAUCUGUCAUGGUGGGCCGAUCGGCUGGAUCUUCCUGAGCACAAAGAAGCGCCACCUGCGUGCAUCGCAUUAUCACGGUGCUUUCAUAUCCAUCACACAGUGCUGGAUCAACGAGCUCUUGCAACCUUCCGUCUUUCCACAUAUGCCAUGCCUGAAACAUGUUG